CAGGAAAACGAGUAUGUUUUCCUGGCACUAUAGUGGUCCUUUAAGGGGCACCCUCAGGGCACUAUAGUGCCAGGAAAACGAGUAUGUUUUCCUGGCACUAU